AUGCUUUUUACCACAGUAUUGGUAGUUUUAAUGUGAUUUUUGUUGUAAAUACAGAGUAACCACAACACUUAUCAUGCUUUUAAUGCCUAAUAAUGUUAAAUCCAAAAACUGUAAGGUCAAUAAGAACUUCUUUCCUAUAUAUAUUUAUAUAUAAACCUAUAUAUUAUAAAUAAUGAUAUUUUCUUUUCUCUUGUUUUAGCUGAAAAGACAAAAAAGGGCCUUUCGGAAAUGGAUGAAGGAGACAGAAAGCUGCAAAGGCAAAUAAUUGCAAUGGAUUACUUGCAGAUUACUUAGUCCUUCUUUUUAGGAUCUCUACAACAUCAAACUCAACAGCUCUUUUAAGAGCCGACCCUCACAAGAGCUACUAGUGAGUCGCUGCAAACCUGCCGUGAUCAGCCCUUUCCAGAGAAGGAAGACCAGUC